GCGCACCAGUCGAGAAUCUUCCACAAUGGACGAAAGUCUGAUGGAGCGACGCCGCGUGCGGGAUGAAGGCCUUAUGGGUUGUAAACCGCUGUCAGGGGGAGGAACAUCGGAAUGAACAAUACUCAUUCCGACUGACGUUACCCCACGAGGAAGCUCCGGCCAACUCCGUGCCAGCAGCCGCGGUAAUACGGGGGAGGCAAGCGUUGUCCGGAAUUAUUGGGCGUAAAGGGCGUGUAGGCGGCGAGGUAAGUCGAAUGUGAAAUCUCACGGCUCAACCGUGAAACUGCGUUCGAAACUACCCUGCUUGAGUACGGGGAGAGGUGUACGGAAUUCCUGGUGUAGCGGUGGAAUGCGUAGAUAUCAGGAA
rnacentral:rRNA from 1 species